AUUAGGGAUGAAGAACUAAUUGACGCCCGUGAGAAGCCCCGGAGCUUCUGAAAUCGGUCGAUGAUAAUCGCAACUGGAAUCGUGAAUGUAUUUUGUUUUAGUGGAAACAGCUCCAUAUUUUAACGAGAUAAGGUGAUCCGCAAUUCGUCCGUCAUGGAACCGGAACCGGACCGGACAAGUUAUCUCACGAGAACCCUCUCAUCAUCGUCUGUCUACAUGUAUGCAUGACACUCUGAUUUCCGGAGGACGCAACCGGAACGAACGAAAUGGGGAAGAUUUUGACAGUCUUACACGACCAGCGCUAACCACGGUUGUCGGUCACACCGUGGUCGACUAUUGCAGUGCGAAUGGCAAUACUAAGUACUUCACGGUAUUCGUAAUGUAUCACAGAAAAAGUUUAAAGAAUAAAUAAAACAUUUUGUACAAUUAAAUCAUCGUGCAUUAAUUGCCAAAAAUUGUCGACAAGAAAUUUCCAUCCAGAAAAAUACUACAUAUAAUGCAGUUGAAUUUACUACUCAAUUGUUAUUUUGAAUGCAACAAAUGGUAAACUUAUUAACUUUGUAAUUCGGUAGAAAUAACCAUGCUCCACAGUAAUUUUGACAUUUGUUUGUAUAUUAUGCAGCCAUGGUAAAAAACACUACACAUUUCGUUUGAAAUAAAUGCGGUAUGUAGUCUGCACAAAUCAAUUGGUGUUGUGCAUUUAAAUUAAAC